GGUCGAGUGGCGCAAUGUAAGCAUCCCACAGCUCUGAUUCAACCCCCACAGAUUCACUAACCUUGCAAAAAGGGUAGCGUGUGGUCCUCCUACUUGAAGGAUCCAAGACUGAGGUUGUGGGUUCGAGUCCCAUCUCGAUCG